rnacentral:misc_RNA from 1 species
GAUGAAGAACGCAGCGAAAUGCGAUAAGUAGUGUGAAUUGCAGAAUUCAGUGAAUCAUCGAAUCUUUGAACGCACAUUGCGCCCUUUGGUAUUCCAAAGGGCAUGCCUGUUCGAGCGUCAUUUGUACCCUCAAGCUUUGCUUGGUGUUGGGCGUCUUGUCUCUAGCUUUGCUGGAGACUCGCCUUAAAGUAAUUGGCAGCCGGCUUACUGGUUUCGGAGCGCAGCACAAGUCGCACUCUCUAUCAGCAAAGGUCUAGCAUCCAUUAAGCCUUUUUUUCAACUUUUGACCUCGGAUCAGGUAGGGAUACCCGCUGAACUUAAGCAUAUCAAUAAGCGGAGGA